CCUACGGGAGGCAGCAGUGAGGAAUAUUGGUCAAUGGCCGGAAGGCUGAACCAGCCAAGCCGCGUGAAGGACGAAGGUGCCAAGCAUUGUAAACUUCUUUUGUCAAGGGACAAAAUCAGGCUCGAGAGCCUGACCGAGGGUACUUGAAGAAAAAGCAUCGGCUAACUCCGUGCCAGCAGCCGCGGUAAUACGGAGGAUGCGAGCGUUAUCCGGAUUUAUUGGGUUUAAAGGGUGCGUAGGUUGUUUUAUAAGUUAGCGGUGAAAUACCGAUGCUCAACAUCGGGGCUGCCGCUGAUACUGUAGGACUAGAGAUCGGAUGCAGCAGGCGGAAUGUGUAGUGUAGCGGUGAAAUGCAUAGAUAUUACACAGAACACCGAUUGCGAAGGCAGCUUGCUAGGCCGGAUCUGACACUGAUGCACGAAAGCGUGGGGAUCGAACAGGAUUAGAUACCCUGGUAGUC
rnacentral:rRNA from 1 species